rnacentral:lncRNA from 1 species
UAUUUAUAAAAUGCUACUUUUCCAUCUUGCAACACCGCCAACACUGGACAUUAGUUCCACGAGUAGCCGCUGUCGCAAGUAUCAAGAAGAACUGUCAAAUUUUUAAAAAGUUUCACUGUUAGCUGAACCUCCAAAUAAAUAAGUUCGAAGUGGUCGGUGGCUUUUUGAACAAAAAAGGAAUCACCUUUUAGUUAUUUUUUUAUACGGAAGCUAUCGUAAUUAAGUUGAAGGAGGAGAAAGUUUUGUUUUGUUGAAGAAGAAAAGUAUUAAUUUGGUAAAAAUUUGGGAUGAUUGCUAUCGGCCACUUGGAACCACUGGAAUGUUCAUCCCACUAACAUCAGGGAUGAAAUAAAAAAAAAAAACUUUAGCAGCAGUCACGGGGUAGCUUAGGAGCUGGAAUCGUCUUUUGAGUUGGUUUUUGGACUAUCAUUAUUUUGUUUGGAACUUUGGAAAAGACUUUACGUUAGUUGGUGUUGGACAGUGAUUAAG